AAAUUAUCGUAUCAAUUUAAAUUGUAGUUUUACAAUUUUCUGCGAGAUGUGAGGAAUAUGUACUGGUCACUCCGACUUUUCCUUGUGGUUAUUACUAUCUCUGUUGCAGAUUGUAAAGGACUCUGUGGCAACAGAGACAAUGGAUGCUGCUCAGGUCAAAUAUGGAACGAAACACUAAAAAUGUGUACAGAUUGUGCAGUGGGAUACACGGGCAGAUUCUGCGAUAUCAGAUGUCAUUAUCCUUACUAUGGAAUGCUGUGUCAGAUGAAGUGCAGUUCUCCUCACAGUAGGGACCAGUAUGACUUCAAAACAGGAUGUGUUCACACAGGGAGGAUGAGUAGGGUGAAAAACUCAUUGGGUAUGUAGCUGCUCGCGAAUACCUAUGUCAACGCUGGAUUGCAAGACUACUGUAAACGUUAACCGUUUUAAAUUAAAUCCUUAAAAAGGCAACAGAUGAUUUUUUAACCACAAGAUGAAUUGGAAUUUAAGAUAACAUAUGCAGCUAAGAUUUUUUUUUAAAUCGAGCAAAUCCAUAAAUUAAAAUAAAAAUUUCAGAACUUUCUUUUCAAGCGGUAAAAACAUUUCGUCUUAAACAUUUUGCACCAUGAUUUGAUUAAGUUUAUGCCUCGUUCACAUGGAUGCGCAUUAAAAUUUCCGUGUGAAUGUGGUUCAUAUUUAAUUCGCAUUAACUUUUUUUUUCGUGUGAACGAGGCAUUAGAUAAAUGUUUGUAUAAAGGUUAGAAAGUGUUUUCCAAGAAUAUUGUAAUUGCGACACUAUGACAGCAAUACCUAUGGACAGAGAAUGGAAAUAAUAAGUUAUCAAAUGGUGAUCACAUAUUCACAAGAAAACAGAGAGAGAGAGAGAGAGAGAGAGAGAGAGAGAGAGAGAGAGAGAGAGAGAGAGAGCAAAAACAACAACUGAAGAACAGAAAAAGGGGUUGUUAUUGUAACUUUAUGUUUUCAAUGUUGUUAUCAGGGGGAUGAAAACCUCAUCUUAAUUGGAUAGGCUUGUAAAAUCAUUUCUAAAGGUGAAUACCAUAGAAGAAAUAAUAAGAUUUGAAAGGUUAUUUCUUUUUCGGUAUUUUAUUUUUUCAUUUUCAUUUUAUUCAUAUUGGUGAAACAACAUACUGUUACAAUCGGUGGGAGAGGGGGUGUCAGAAAAUGGCAACUCCGGGGAAAGGGGUAGUAUACACAAGCACUUACUUAAGAGGCUGUCUACGAUAGAACCAUGCAAAACCAAAAAAAAAUAUUAUGGAAGGUGUUGUCAAAUUUUCAGACCUUUUUAUGAUAUUUCAGAAGUAUUUUACUAGUUAUAUCAUAUUUUGUGGCAAAAUCGAUGAGUACCUCCCGAACUAACACCUAAUGGGCCGUUCUAUUUUUAGCACAACAUACACAUCAAUUUCACGCAAAAAUGGUGUAUUUUCAGCUAGUCAUUAGAAUAUCAAAAGCAGAAUAAUCACAUACAAUUUCAGUUCCGCAUAGUCUAUUUGAACGAUACCUUCGAAUUGGUGAACAUAACUUUAAAAUUCAUUCUCCAGAUUUAAGUCGUAUAGUGUUUGAACUAGUAAGAUUAUGUAACUUUCAAAUUGAAUGCUAUUUUUAGUGAGUCAUAAAACCCCAAGAAACACUUAAAAUAAAUAGUUUCGUGGUUUAAAACACAGAAUUAUGCAUAAAUUAUCACUACUAAACGGGAAUUUGGUUGCAAAUAAAUAGAAAGUCAUUUAUUUGGGGUAUGAAAUUCGGAAAUUUUAUCAAAAUAUUAUCUCCCUUUGUGGAACUCUCAUGGGAAGAAGGUAAGGAAAAAUGAUUCAUAAGGCAGAUGACAACAACAUGAAAUGGAAGAUGAAUUUAUAGCCUUGGUGAAAAUUUCAACGAAAGAGGGUGUUUAUUUACAUCAGGAUUGCAAGAAGUAUACUUCAGCACAAUUGAGAUUUUUAAAUGUCCAUCCGAAAUUGUGUGAAUUCCAGAAUCUUUGUUCACUGCACUGCACAGCUGGUGUGCAUUAACUAUGAUCUAGACUUAACAGACAUCAUCAUGCCUAUGCCAAUCAUGGACAUUGACUUUGAAUAAAGAACAACAUGUUGUCACCCAUUACAUGACAAAUCUAACUCAGAUGUGAAAGAGGGGGGGGGGGGGGAUGACUCCGUGACUCCAAAGCCGAUAUAUUUGCCACAUUACUCAAGCUGACAACACAUGUUCCAUUGAUUCUGGUAAGUUAAAUUGUUUUUAUAUCUCCCUGCACUAACAGAUAUUGAAAUAUGCACUUAUGCAUAAAUACUCAUAGAUGAAAUCUAUAAAAUUUUACUUCUAUUUUUCUAUUUGAAAUUUUUAAGAUAUCAAUUUGCUGAAUGCACAAUUUUCUAGAUUAAAAUACUGUUACAAUAUAUUUAGGAAAUAUAAUGAAAUAUAUGUGUUUGCAGACAAGACAAUGCAUUGAGAAACACAAAAAUUGUGUCCAUAUUAAGACAGAUGUAAAGAAAGAGUUGAAAGAUGUUUCUGAAGUAAGACAGUCAUACCCCUGCUUUCCAAGGAACCAAACAAUUACUUUCCUUGUAUUGACAUGGUGGUGAAAAAUGGGGAGGGUCCAGAAAAUGACAAAGACCUCCAGAAUAUCAUCAGUGAUAUUGUUGCAAUUGAAUGUAACCAAUUAUUAUCCAAUAUAUAUUAUCUAUGACUGAACUCAUAAGUGGUUAAGGAAAACUGUUUUAAUUUUUUAGUCACUGCUUGGAGGUUAUUUUACAUCUCUCAGGAUUUUCUAGAUGUCAGAUUUCCUAACACUCACACUUGUGCUUUAAUUUUUUUAUUUUCUUUGGGUAUAAAUGUACAGAAAAAUUGAAUGUUCUUCUAUGGGAUAGUUUUGCCAAUAGUUUCAGUUGAAAGUUACAACAAAAACGAAGAAGAAAAAAAAAGAAAGAAUUGCAAUGAUUAAAUCUCUAUGUUUAUAAUGAAUGUGUCUUUCAUGAUCUUGUAUGUGAUGUUCAUGAAUUUUUUUUUACAUUACCUGACUUACAGUAAUAUCACCCCCCCCCCAUCCUUUAUGGCUUUACUUACAAUAAAACUACAUAUGCAGAGUGAAUUUAAAACAUGAGAGAUAUAUCAUAUGUUGUAAUUGCCUGCUGAAUUUGAUAGAAAGCAAAAACGCUUUGAAUACACGAUUAUUGUACAUGGCUACAAUAAAUGUACUAUUUAUUGGUGGAAGGUAAUGGUGGAAGAUGUUUUCAAAAUAACCUCUCUCCCUCCAAUAUUGGGUCAAAGUACAACAAACAAUAAUUUUUACCCUUCAUUAAUGCUUAUGCAUGACAUGUGCAAUGAUAUUAUUACGUUAUCUGAAGAUUUUAACUCUACAAAACCGACAUUAUCACCCCCCCCCCCCCUUUUUUUUCUUCUUCUUGCAUAAAUCCCCCCCCCCCCCCAAUAUACCACUAAAUUUCAUUUGCAACCAAAUUCCCUUUAACAUGUAUUAGAAAUUGAUAGGUUCUACACAUGUAUCAAAUAUGAUGUCUAUUGAAGCGUUUCUUGGGCAACUAUACCUGUUUCAGUGCAAAUAGGUGAAAUUAGGUAAAAUUUCAGCAUUUCCUUCAUUUUGAAAUUUUGAUAUUUUAUUGCACUGUGUAUUAAAUUUUGAUUGCUUAUGUGUUAUUAAUUCCUAUUUGUCUCUGCAAUAUCAUGAAAUAGGUAUCAUUAAAUUGCAAGACAUGGGUUUUGCAAUAAACCAAAAACAAA